UACGUAGGGAGCAAGCGUUGUCCGGAUUUAUUGGGCGUAAAGAGCGUGUAGGCGGCCAGGUAGGUCCGUUGUGAAAACUCGAGGCUCAACCUCGAGACGUCGGCGGAAACCCUCUGGCUAGAGUCCGGAAGAGGAGAGUGGAAUUCCUGGUGUAGCGGUGAAAUGCGCAGAUAUCAGGAAGAACACCCGUGGCGAAGGCGGCUCUCUGGGACGGUACUGACGCUGAGACGCGAAAGCGUGGGGAGCAAACAGG
rnacentral:rRNA from 1 species